GCGCCGGCCGGUUAAUUCCUAGGUACACGGCCGGCUUUCGCGGAGAAACCGAGCGCGCCAGCCCGGCUUCUCGGCUGGCGGGCGGGCGGUGGGCGCGUCCUCCCCCAGCACCGAAGCCCGCGCCGGGCGGGCGGGAGUGCCUACUCCGGAGGACGCCCGCCGCCUGCUCUCUUUUGUUCUUGGCCCGGAGCUGCCUGCCGCAGCCCAGCCAAUCACCACCCGGCGCCCACCUCCCGCUGACUCGACCCUCUCCUGGCUACCCCCAGCCAGCCACUUCCGCGGGUGCUCUCUGGUUAUGUAGGUUUUCUUUAUGGCGUUACAAAAGAUUGAUUUUUAUAAAUGUGUUGGUACUUGAAAGUAUUCACUAUGCUCAGGAUAUAGAAUUUUUGCAAACUACUUUUAAAAUUUAAUUUAACCUUACCCAAUUUUAAUAUUACUAUCCUUGUAUUCUUUUGGCUAAGUUUUUAAAG
rnacentral:lncRNA from 1 species